AGACAUGAAGGUUAUCUGGCUGCGGCAUCUGUCACCCUGUUAGUUGCCAGGGUUUAUUUCACUGAUCUGGCUGGAUAGUGGGUAUCCCCUUCCUCACUCACUGCUCCUGAAGCUGUUACUCUGCCAAAGAGGACAUCUUUCCCUUGUUAGAGGAGGGCCAUUCUUUGAUCAAGAGUAUAUGAAUCGCUUCAUUCCCCUGCUAGAAUCUCUAAACAAGCUCUCAAGAAACAGGAAAAAUUUUAAGCAAUCUAACUUUAUACAGCAAGGAACU
ensembl:misc_RNA 7SK 7SK RNA